UAGGGAAUCUUCGGCAAUGGGGGCAACCCUGACCGAGCAACGCCGCGUGAGUGAAGAAGGUUUUCGGAUCGUAAAGCUCUGUUGUAAGUCAAGAACGGGUGUGAGAGUGGAAAGUUCACACUGUGACGGUAGCUUACCAGAAAGGGACGGCUAACUACGUGCCAGCAGCCGCGGUAAUACGUAGGUCCCGAGCGUUGUCCGGAUUUAUUGGGCGUAAAGCGAGCGCAGGCGGUUUGAUAAGUCUGAAGUUAAAGGCUGUGGCUCAACCAUAGUUCGCUUUGGAAACUGUCAAACUUGAGUGCAGAAGGGGAGAGUGGAAUUCCAUGUGUAGCGGUGAAAUGCGUAGAUAUAUGGAGGAACACCGGUGGCGAAAAGCGGCUCUCUGGUCUGUAACUGACGCUGAGGCUCGAAAAGCGUGGGGAGCGAACAGGAUUAGAUACCCUGGUAGUCCACGCCGUAAAACGAUGAGUGCUAGGUGUUGGAUCCUUUCCGGGAUUCAGUGCCGAAGCUAACGCAUUAAGCACUCCGCCUGGGGAGUACGACCGC
rnacentral:rRNA from 1 species